rnacentral:rRNA from 1 species
GAUGAACGCUGGCUACAGGCUUAACACAUGCAAGUCGUGGGGAAACGGCAUUAUGUGCUUGCACAUUCUGGACGUCGACCGGCGCACGGGUGAGUAUCGCGUAUCCAACCUGCCCCUUACUUGGGGAUACCCCGUUGAAAGACGGCCUAAUACCCGAUGUGUUUCAUUGACGGCAUCCGAUAUGAAACAAAGGUUUUCCGGUAAGGGAUGGGGAUGCGUCUGAUUAGCUUGUUGGCGGGGCAACGGCCCACCAAGGCGACGAUCAGUAGGGGUUCUGAGAGGAAGGUCCCCCACAUUGGAACUGAGACACGGUCCAAACUCCUACGGGAGGCAGCAGUGAGGAAUAUUGGUCAAUGGACGCAAGUCUGAACCAGCCAAGUAGCGUGCAGGAUGACGGCCCUAUGGGUUGUAAGCUGCUUUUAUGUGGGAAUAAAGUGGCGCACGUGUGCGCCAUUGCAUGUACCUCAUGAAUAAGGACCGGCUAAUUCCGUGCCAGCAGCCGCGGUAAUACGGAAGGUCCGGGCGUUAUCCGGAUUUAUUGGGUUUAAAGGGAGUGUAGGCGGUCUGUUAAGCGUGUUGUGAAAUUUAGGUGCUCAACAUUUAACUUGCAGCGCGAACUGUCAGACUUGAGUACACGCAGCGCAGGCGGAAUUCAUGGUGUAGCGGUGAAAUGCUUAGAUAUCAUGAGGAACUCCGAUCGCGAAGGCAGCCUGCGGGAGUGUUACUGACGCUUAAGCUCGAAGGUGCGGGUAUCGAACAGG